UGCUCGCUUCGGCAGCAAUAUACUAAAAUUGAAAUGAUAUAGAGAAGAUUAGCAUGGGCCCUGCUCAAGGAUAACACACAAAUUCGUGAAACGUCCCGUAUUAUU
ensembl:snRNA U6 U6 spliceosomal RNA